rnacentral:lncRNA from 1 species
GGGAUGAUCUAUUUGAAAAGAAAUUGAGAAAAUAAGGGUCAACUCGCAAAAAGGGAAAGAGAGGGCCACUUCAGCAGCAUGGCGAACCAAAACGCGCUGCGUGGCAACAGCAUCAGCAUGUGUUUCCACACGGGAAGCCAGGUUUGCAAUUUGCAUGCUAAACGGAUUGAAUGGCCCACAUCCAUUCCCCCUCGCAUGAACGGUCGGAUUGCAAAUCCCACCGAGAUUCAAACAGAGGGUCCUGGUUAGCCACGUGAAGAUCCAAUGAUUGAAUGAUGA